UACGUAGGGUGCGAGCGUUAAUCGGAAUUACUGGGCGUAAAGCGUGUGUAGGCGGGUCGUUAAGUGUCUUGUGAAAUCCCACCGCUCACCGGUGGAACGGCUGGGCAUACUGGCGACCUUGAGAGGCCUAGGGGCAGACGGAACAAGCGGUGGAGCGGUGAAAUGCGUAGAUAUCGUGAGGAAGACCAGUGGCGAAGGCGGGUUUCUGGAGAGUUCCUGACGCUGAGGCACGAAGGCCAGGGGAGCAAACGGG
rnacentral:rRNA from 1 species